GACGAACCGAGCGAACGUUAUUCGGAAUCACUGGGCUUAAAGGGCGCGUAGGCGGGCCGUCAAGUCAGGGGUGAAAGCCCCCAGCUCAACUGGGGAAGUGCCUCUGAUACUGACGGCCUCGAGGGAGGUAGGGGCGUGCGGAACUUCCGGUGGAGCGGUGAAAUGCGUAGAUAUCGGAAGGAACACCGGUGGCGAAAGCGGCGCGCUGGACCUCUUCUGACGCUGAGGCGCGAAAGCCAGGGGAGCGAACGGG
rnacentral:rRNA from 1 species